UCAAACCAAACCUAACCACGAGAUGCGCCUCCUGCACCCACAUUAACUAACCUAACGGCAGGCUGGCCCCUAAUCGAACCUGAUAUAGUGACUGCAUCGUCUUAAAUCCCCUUAAUUAAUUAUCAAAUUAUGACCAGUUCAUAAAAAGCUUUACUUUGUCUUCUUCCCGCAAACCACAGUCUCUCUGACACUGCACACACUGACACUCGUGGCAGAACACUGUGUUCAUGUACUGAAGUCAGGGAAUCUUGAAUGAUUUUGUGAAAUGGAUAACACUCACAAAGUAAUAAAAAGAAAAAUUGGAUAAUGCAAGAAACACGUUUGAGCUUCAAGUAAAAACAAGCAGAGCGUCUCACGGCUUGCACUGAGGAAGCCAGCAGGUUACAUGUGGCCCACUCAUAAAGUAAAAAUAUAUACAAUAACACCACAUGCAGUUCAAGAAAAAGUAGCAUUACGCACAACAGUGCAAUGUUGUUGACACACAAAGGCAAGAGAAAUAAUACACAGCAAGUGGUAGCAAAAUUGAAGAAUGUGGUCUGAGUACAGAGUCCACAAUCUUAUGCAGGGAGUGACCUCAUGGAUUAGUUGCUGCUUCCAUCACAUAUGACAAGGCAGUGUCAGACUGUAUGUAUGUACAAGUGCAUUCAUCACUAACACUCUAGACCCAUCCCUGAGGAGACGGAAGUUUGAAUUUAAUGGUGUCAUAGAGAAACACAAUGCUCUGGCACACUACACGUCUUCCCAGCUCCAGACAGAGUCUGCCAGCAAGACAGUGUGCACUAGCAGGCAGGAUCACAAAGAAAAGCAAGGCAAGGAGACACUCAUGAAGGUCGCCUGGCAGUAUGCCUUGCAUUCUAUCCUUGUGCAUUGAAGAGGAGAUUGCUCAAGAGGUGGAGGAAUCACUGCUAAGGAGGAGGGAAUAGUUGGAGUUGGCUGAUGACCAUGUUGUCAGGUGUUGGUGGAGGAUGAUCUUGAAUGCCAUGGUGCUUGUCAUUCUGCUAAGAAGAAUGCCACUCACAAUCCUCUGACUACACCCAAGAGGGGUGAGGAGUCCAAUAAAAGUCCCAGAGAGAAAGAUAGAAAGAUGUUAGAGGAUGCAGCUAUCAGUAUGAAACUUGGACCACAUAGCCAAACCAAAUCAUCCUCAAAGAAAGUUAGGAAAUGAAAGACAUCAGUAUUGAUGACAUUUUGAGUUCAUCUGAAUGGAAAAUACCAGUGAAAAGAUUUAUGAAGAUGAGUGAAAGCACACACUAAAAAGACAAAAUCACUGGGGAAAGCAUCGGACCCAACCAGCAUGGACAGUGAGGCAAGCAGGUCUGGCAGGUGGCAUGAGAACAGAACCACAGAGAGUGAAAGCAGUGCUGUGAUAGCAUGUGACUGGCAGCUGACUGAGAAAAGGGAGGCACAAGAGGAGGGGAAGUGUUCAAGGUGUGGAGGCUAUCAAGAAGGCAAUACAGAUGAAGUAAGAAGAUUGGUUGAUUGAUAAAAAAACAUAAAAAAUGCACUGCAACAUGGUGGUCAUACGGUGGUGAAGGGGGAGCACUUGGUCCAUGCAUCCAACAGGCACCAAACCUUCCAGUGACAGGUGAGCCAUCAAAGUAGGUGGCACUGCUAACCUUGCUUCAAGCCCCGCCACUGCAACAAGGUGACUUCCUAUGGCAAAGGAAAAUAAGAAGUGAUGCCUUCAUUGUAUAUGUGGUUCAGGAAUAGAAUGUAUGCCAACUUGGUGAUCCUGAGACUGCACAUUACUCAAUCUGAAAGAGAUGAAAGGGCAUCACAAACUGUAAGAAUUAAUGCAGGCAGAGAGAAGCAGCACACUAUCAAAACAACAAAGUGUAAGAAUGCUUGCUAAUAAGAGAACAGAGUGAGGACCAGAACAAGCUGUAAGAAGAGAUGUGGAUGGCAAGGAAACAAGCACAUCACCAGAACAGAAACACUCUGUCACAGCAAAAAGGGAAGUAAGAGAUAUUGUGACAGAAAGAUAUGAUUCUCAAAAAGUGUCAGCAGUGAGUCAUGAUAAGCCUGAGGCAACCCCUGAGAGGGAGAGUGACCUGGUGAAGUAUGAGUGCUCAGGAUGUGGAGGCAACAAACACAGCUGAAAAUACUGCACUGCCACCUUUUUCCAAUCAAGAUCACAGUCAGUCUGAUACCCAGAGCCAGAGAGAAGCUUAAUAGAUUCAAGAGCAAACUCGUCUGCAUCUAAAACUAUAAGCACAGAGCACUCAGCCAUUAUGUACAGUGGUACAUAAUGGAGAUCUGUUCUGCCCCUCUGAUUCAUCACACUAGCUCAUGAAAAAUAGUGUGUUCAAGAAAGAUUAGAUCUCUCAGACAUCCUAGAGGCAGAGGAGGAGGAAAGUGAUUGGAGCCUUGGAGAUAAUACCAUCGAGGAACUUGGUGUGAAGAAGUGUGCCUUUUCUUAUUGGUGUCCAAUACUUUCUAACAAAAAUAAACCCAAGAGACAACAAAUCUCCCCACAAAGCUUAUGAUGAUGAUAAGGAAAGUAAUCCUAAUUAUGUAAAUGUAAUGAAAACCACACCCAACCAAUACAUUGUAUAGUUCACUCAAGAAUCAAGUGCUGGUGAGUAGCUGGGUGGUGAAGAGAAGACCUCAGACAGCUAUCAACCAUCCAUCUGACUGCAAGGCACUGGCAGAUAAAAAGGGGAGUAGCAGCAGGCGGCAGUGCAGGGGAGGAAUAUGGACACCUCCACAGCCGAGAUGAGUUCACAAGGCUCACAGCUUGUGGAGACAUCAUUCCACCACCAGGUCAGCACCACCACCACCACCAGCAGGAUGCUCACUGAGAUGUCAUGGCAACACCACCAGCUCCACCGCCAACAAGGCAUCCAGACUGUCCAGACCAUUGCAGCGCUUUUGGAUGGACAGUGAUGAGGAGGCAGAUGAUGGAAGCCUCACCACCAUGCUGGUGUCCAGGAGCACCAUGCCGAGUGCUGACAUCACCUCACAGGUGACCCUGGAGAGGAGCACAGUGCUGCCUGACUACGGCACCCUUUAUGGGAGCACUGGAUGGCAGCUGUCAGGAAGCAGCAGAAGAGCAAGAUACUCUAACUGAGGGUUUCAUAAUAGUUUCAAAGUUGAUAUGCUACAGACAACAGCUGCAAUAAUUUUCUUUUUAAUAUUUAAAGCUGGCUUGGUAAUCUGAAGUGACAUUGAGGACAGAGGCAGGAAGUAGUUAUUAUGUAUUUUCUUUUAUUUUUAAUAUAUUUUUGUUUAUAUUUUAUAAAUGUAGAUACUUAUCUUAAUGAAAAUUUUAUCUCAGUAAUGAAUAAAGAAUUGUCAUUCUACAUAACCUUGCUUCUCAUGCUCACAGGCUGCAAUGUUUCCAUGACCACAUCUUAAAAUGUUUCUGCAUCUUUUCUUGGCCAGUUUUAAUUGCCUCUGUGAAAUUUAUUGAGUCUCCUAAGGAUGCUUUUAUUGAUAGUUUAGCAAGGAUUCUGCAUCACCAAUGAAGAAGAAAAAAAAGAGUGAACUUGUGAUAUCAUUUCUUUAGCCUUUGACAGUAGUCCUUGUAAAUCCAUAGUGUUUCAAAAUACAGUGCACACUUGAAGUGAAUGUGUCAACCUUCGUAACAAUUACAUUUCUCACAACAAAUAUGACAGGUUUCCUCAGGAGGUGAAGAGUACCACAUAGUGAUAGAGGGGAAAAAAUGAUGAAGACUGGUUGUAUAACAUAUUAAUUUUGAUAGUUCAGCUUUUUCUGCAGAGUCCCAACAAGACACAAUAGUGAUAGAAUUUCCUGCAGGGGCCAAUACCAUAUUCAUCCUUUCAUAUAUGUACUUAACAUUGCACUUCAUUCUUCAUCCUCCUGCCUGUGUCUCUUUUUGAUAUGCAGUAAAUUGUAUAUCCCAUCAAAAUCUAUUUAGGUGUAUAAAAAUCUAGGAGACUUCAGAGUGGCACAUGCUUUGCUUCCAGUCUUGCAAUUGCCCACUUCUGUGUACCAGGUGUGGGCAACACCUGCAUUUCUAUAAACAACUUGACCAUUUCAGAUUCUUAUCCAGAAAUAGAUAUUUUUUCCCUGCCAUAUAUAUUGUUAUCUUCUAUCACUAAUUUCAUGCUAACUAACAAUAUGCCAUCCCUGCUCCCAUAGGCUCACUGCACAAGAGUGUAGGGGAGACCAGCGCAAGUUGGCAAGAGUUGUAAGUUGGCACAUUUGAAAUAAUUCCACUAUUUACCACUUGAUAGUGCUGCUACUCACCAACACACAGCAACGUUAGAAGGUCACAUGAUUUGAUUGGAGUGAGGAAAAGUUUAAUUUUGAUGCUGGAUAGUAAAUUUUCACUCAUUUAGAUUGUCUGUUGUAACAUGGAUCUCGUUAUAGAUGAGAGAUAUUCAUUUUAGCCAUAAUUUGUAUUUGGGUUCAAGGAUUGUUUAUCCUUGAAACAGAUCAUAACAAGUUUUUUAAUCUGUACGAAAACCAUUUGUUUAGUGUCAUGGAUGGGGCAAGUUGGCACCUAGAAAAUGGGGCAAAGUGGCACAGCACCAAUUAUAUAUGAAUAACAUUGGCUUAUUUAUUACCUGUCUAUUUUCAUAUUAUAUUUGAUUUAUAUUAUUUUUUGUGAUAUAUAUAUAUGUUGAUAGAUAUAUUAAUUAACUUCCUGAACAAACUUUUAUUUUGUAUUUACAGAGAUGGUUUGAACAUAAAAAUGAACAUGCUUUCCUCAGUAUGAAAAAAAAAAAAAAAAAUUGUUGUUUGAACUGAAUCUUGAUGAAAUUUAGCUUUACAGAUAUUCUGUAUUUAAACUUACAGUUACAUACAUCUAAUUUGCUAUUUAUAUGUGAUGUGCCAAUUGACCCCAUAGCGUGUGCCAACUUACCUGUCAUAUGGAGCAUGUUGGCUCCCUUAAGUUAUUUUUUCUAAGUAAUGCAGAGCUUUAGUUUGAAAAGAACCAUGUUUUUAUUUCAUGAAAAAUAAGAUGAAUGUUUAUGCUUUUCAAUGAAAACUUAAACAAACGAAAAUUC